GACCAUGAUCUGCUAGAGUAAUUUAGAGAGAGAGAUGGAGAGAGAAGUAGGAGGUGGCUUGGGCCUUGGGGUGCGAUAUUUCCAUCAUUGUUUACUCUAAUAAUUAACAUCUUAAUUACCUACAAGGUCGUGAGCCCUCCAAUUUUUGAGGCCCUGCUCAACCGCUCCGGUUGCACCUACUAAAAUACUGCCCUGGCCAUCUCAAAUUACACAAGCAUCAAUUCCAAGUUUGAGUAUUAAGGAACACAUGAACUACUUAAUAGUAGAGCUGCUUGUUUAUAACUAUUUUACACAAUCUAGUCUUUUUUGUCUACUAGCAAUGAAAGCCAAGUUUCAAGAGAUAAGUUAAUGUAAUCAUGUACGUUACAAGUACUCCUCCAAACAAGUUUAAGCAAAUUUUAGUCAUCUAGUGUUGAUAAUGUAGGCUGGCGGAUCCCUCGGCAAUUCAUUAAGUUCACUCUCUGUCAUCUUUUCCAGCUUCGGUUACUAAAAUCAUACCACCAAUUCUGGAGAGUGAUAUGCAUAGCAGGGAAUAUCUUGCGGAGCAGAAAUGCAAGGGUGGGGCAUAUUUGAAGGAAAAUGAUGCAACGAUUGCGGAACACAAGGCUGCGGAGUAGGAGUCUCUUAAAUACAUACAAAGCAUAACUCGUAGCCUUGUAUACCCUAGUGCCCCUAAUGCGCGACUGACACAAAAGGCACGAGGUGCUGAUGAUUGCAGUGACUCAGAGUAUGAACUAGAUGCUGAAGAGGAGGCCCAUGUAGAGGAAGAGGAUUUGGGAGAUGAAGAGGAGGUCGCUCUUGCUAAGUCCAAAGCAAUGGUAUUCAUGCAGACGUACAUCUUAAAUAAUAUGUACAAUGUCGAUUGACUGACUUUAAUAUUGCCUUGCUUGUAUCAUCUGCAUGUAAUUGUGCACUAUAAGUAUCACAAAUAAUUGACUCAAAGAUUGAUUCACAUAUUCUGUCAAGAAGCAUUAUCAAAUAAGCCACCCAACAUUACUCAUGAGAAAUGGACUAGCCUUGUCAAUAAAUGGUCUGAUGAAAGAAACAAGAAAAUAUGUCAAAUGAAUAAGGAAAACCGAGAAGCUGUCAGGCAACACCAAAAGACGGGAUCUAUGUCCUAUGUUUCCUAUUUCAGCAAACUUAAAAAAGACAAGUACAAUAAUCAGGACCCAAGUCCCAUUGAGUUUUUCAAAGACAGCCAUACAAACAGCAAGACUGAUAGCAUGUGCUGAGUCAGGACUUCUAGCUCAUAAUGCGAUGGAAAAGAAAAGGGAAGCACAAUCUGAAGGUGAGCAGCCAGUAUCCGAUACAGCGAUUGUGGCUGAAGUUCUAAAGGAAGAAAGCUCCCAUAGCACCGUCCUUUCUAGCAUGGGGUAUGCAUCAAGAUCCGGGAGGUCAGGGAGCUCUACUUCAUCAUCCUAGAUUCGAUUUCUAGAAGAAAGAAUUGAAUAGAAGGAUAGAGAGGCAAGAGAUGCAAAUGACA